AUUGAACGCUGGCGGCAGGCUUAACACAUGCAAGUCGAGCGAGCGGCGGACGGGUGAGUAAUGUCUGGGAAACUGCCUGAUGGAGGGGGAUAACUACUGGAAACGGUAGCUAAUACCGCAUACCAUCAGAUGUGCCCAGAUGGGAUUAGCUAGUAGGGGGGGUAAUGGCGCACCUAGGCGACGAUGCCUAGCUGGUCUGAGAGGAUGACCAGCCACACUGGAAUUGAGACACGGUUCAGAUUCCAUCGGGAAGCAGCAGUGGGGAAUAUUGAACAAUGGGAGCAAGCGGUAUGAAGCCAUGCCGCGUGUGAUAAGAAGGCCUGCGGGUUGUAAAGCACUUUCAGCGAGGAGGCGUUACUCGCAGAAGAAGCACCGGCUAACUCCGUGCCAGCAGCCGCGGUAAUAC
rnacentral:rRNA from 1 species